rnacentral:rRNA from 1 species
UACGGCUCAGUAACACGUAGUUAAUCUGCCCUUAGGUCAAGAAUACCCUCGGGAAACUGAGGCUAAUACUUGAUAGGGGAUUUGGCCUGGAAAGGUAUUUCCCUGAAGCACGUGCCUAAGGAUGAGACUGCGGAUGAUUAGCUUGUUGGUGGGGUAACUGCCUACCAAGGCAAUGAUCAUUACGGGCUCUUAGCGGAGUUGCCCGGAGAAGGAAUCUGAGAAACUAUUCCUAGCUCUACGGAGUGCAGCAGUCGCGAAACUUUUACAAUGCACGCAAGUGUGAUAAAGCAAACCAAAGUGUUUUUCGUAUAGAAAAACUUUUUCUCACUGUAAAAAUGUGGGAGAAUAAGGACUGGGAAAGACUGGUGCCAGCCGCCGCGGUAAUACCAGCAGUUCAAGUUGCAUCCCUUUUUAUUGGGUCUAAAACAUCCGUAGCUUGUUCGUUAAGUCUCUUGUGAAAUCCUAUGUCUCAAGCAUGGGGCUUGCAGGAGAUACUGGCGAGCUAGAGAUCGGUAGACGUAAGGAGUACGCCGGGGGUAGCGGUUAAAUGUGUUAAUCCUCGGUGGACUAACGAUGAGCGAAGGCACCUUACGAGGACGAAUCUGACAGUGAGGGAUGAAGGCCAGGGGCGCAAAACGGAUUAGAUACCCGUGUAGUCCUGGCAGUAAACGCUGCUCACUAAACAUCGGGCCCUCUUCGGGAGGAUUCGGUGCUGAAGCGAAGGCGAAGAGUGAGCUACCUGGGAAGUAUAGUCGCAAGAUCGAAACUUAAAGGAAUUGGCGG